rnacentral:lncRNA from 1 species
GAGCCCUUUGGCUCUUCCUGGGGCCAGAACUUCAGUGUCUUCUCUCCCCUGCAGCUGGAACGUGGAGGGUGCCUGCCACAGAGACCUCAAUGGGGCUUUAUUUUCCAUCCUGAUUUCUUCCUUCUCUAUCCAGGAAGCUACUGGGUCAAGGACAAGUGGCUGCCCCCCUGCUCACUCAGUCAGGCCCUCACCUACUUCCUGGACAUCAUCAUCUGCCCAAGCCAGCUGCUGCUCCGAAAGCAGGCCUAGCUGACCAUGAAAGAGGACUAGAGACGGAGGUUGGAGACCUUGUGCCAGGCGAAGGACAGGAACUAUUUCCUCUCCAGUUUGGUCCUCUCAGCACCCUGGACAGCGCCCGGAACUUCCAGGCCUGCGUGGAGGCAAGGAGUGAAUAAAUGAAUGAAUAUCAGAUUGUGACAGCCUCUUCCCUCGGUGUGAAGCAGGUGCCCUGAGUCCUGGACACUGCACUUGGCUUUCAGUCCUCGGACUAUAACAAAUGGAAGUUCACCAAUGGCCACAAAAUCCUGGAGGUGCUGGAGGAGUUCCCGUCCCUGCGGGUGUCUGCUGGCUUCCUGCUCUCCCAGCUCCCUAUUCUGAAACCCUGGUGCUACUCCAUCAGCUCCGCUGGGGACCACACACCCACGGAGGUCCACCUCACCAUGGCUGUGCUCAGGUACUACACCCCAGGUCUACUUUCAAGACAUCCUGCGGCAGCAGCUGGCAGGUGCAGGCAAAGUCACAUGUAUGUCUGCGAGGUUGUGCACAUGUCCCAGGACAUGGCCUACACUCUGAAGCAGGUGAUGGCUGCCACGCUGAGUCUGAGUGAGGAGAAGGUUGAGGACUACUACUUCCAGCUUCAGGUACGGCCACUGGUGUGUGCACUAGGGAUGGAGGUCAAGGACACGGGCCAGGGAUCCUGGACUCCAGAGUUAGGCUCAGAACAGUCCUGGACCUCAAAGGAAUCCUACAGGUGCCUGGAGGUCAGGGCUGGCCAGGAAGUGAGAGGCCUGACUGUGCAUCCUGGUCUGUUGCUCAAUUCAACAGAGGCAAACGCCUUGCUUUACAAGCCUUCUCAGAGCCUCUAACACGCUAUGUGCAUCGUGACACUUCAAGAAGGGAGCAAGUACACAGCAUCUCCUGGACGCAUUUACCUCAGAGCCCACAUUUUCUGGAGCCUCUGGAGGGACAGGCAGUAGGCAGGCCUUACUGUCCAUCAUAAGC